AUUGAACGCUGGCGGCAUGCUUUACACAUGCAAGUCGAACGGUAACAGGCCGCAAGGUGCUGACGAGUGGCGAACGGGUGAGUAAUGCAUCGGAACGUGCCCAGUCUUGGGGGAUAACUACUCGAAAGAGUAGCUAAUACCGCAUACGAUCUAUGGAUGAAAGCGGGGGACCGUAAGGCCUCGCGCGAUUGGAGCGGCCGAUGUCAGAUUAGGUAGUUGGUGGGGUAAAGGCUCACCAAGCCAACGAUCUGUAGCUGGUCUGAGAGGACGAGCAGCCACACUGGGACUGAGACACGGCCCAGACUCCUACGGGAGGCAGCAGUGGGGAAUUUUGGACAAUGGGCGCAAGCCUGAUCCAGCAAUGCCGCGUGCAGGAAGAAGGCCUUCGGGUUGUAAACUGCUUUUGUUCGGAACGAAACGGCUCUGGUUAAUACCCGGGGCUAAUGACGGUACCGUAAGAAUAAGCACCGGCUAACUACGUG
rnacentral:rRNA from 1 species